CUCAGGAUGAACGCUAGCGGCAGGCUUAACACAUGCAAGUCGAGGGGCAGCGGGGAGGAAGCUUGCUUUCUCCGCCGGCGACCGGCGCACGGGUGAGUAACACGUAUGCAACCUGCCCCUGUCAGGGGGACAACCCGCCGAAAGGCGGGCUAAACCCGCGUACAUGCCACCGGGGCAUCCCGGAGGCAGGAAAGGCUUCGGCCGGACAGGGAUGGGCAUGCGGCGCAUUAGGCAGUAGGCGGGGUAACGGCCCACCUAACCGACGAUGCGUAGGGGUUCUGAGAGGAAGGUCCCCCACACUGGUACUGAGACACGGACCAGACUCCUACGGGAGGCAGCAGUGAGGAAUAUUGGUCAAUGGUCGGGAGACUGAACCAGCCAAGCCGCGUGAGGGAGGAAGGUACAGAGUAUCGUAAACCUCUUUUGUCAGGGAACAAAGGCGGGGACGUGUCCCCGGAUGAGUGUACCUGAAGAAAAAGCAUCGGCUAACUCCGAGCCAGCAGCCGCGGUAAUACGGAGGAUGCGAGCGUUAUCCGGAUUUAUUGGGUUUAAAGGGUGCGCAGGCGGUCUGUUAAGUCAGCGGUCAAAGCCCGGGGCUCAACCCCGGCCCGCCGUUGAAACUGGCAGUCUCGAGUUGGAGAGAAGUAUGCGGAAUGCGCGGUGUAGCGGUGAAAUGCAUAGAUAUCGCGCAGAACUCCGAUUGCGAAGGCAGCAUGCCGGCUCCACACUGACGCUGAGGCACGAAAGCGUGGGUAUCGAACAGGAUUAGAUACCCUGGUAGUCCACGCAGUAAACGAUGAAUGAUGGCUGUCCGGGGGGAUUGACCCCUGGGUGGCGAAGCGAAAGCGAUAAGCAUUCCACCUGGGGAGUACGCCGGCAACGGUGAAACUCAAAGGAAUUGACGGGGGCCCGCACAAGCGGAGGAACAUGUGGUUUAAUUCGAUGAUACGCGAGGAACCUUACCCGGGCUCAAACGGGGAGUGACUCAGGCAGAGACGCCUGUUUCCCACGGGACACUCCCCGAGGUGCUGCAUGGUUGUCGUCAGCUCGUGCCGUGAGGUGUCGGCUUAAGUGCCAUAACGAGCGCAACCCCCGCGUGCAGUUGCUAACAGAUAACGCUGAGGACUCUGCACGGACUGCCGGCGCAAGCCGCGAGGAAGGCGGGGAUGACGUCAAAUCAGCACGGCCCUUACGUCCGGGGCGACACACGUGUUACAAUGGGUGGUACAGCGGGAAGCCAGGCGGCGACGCCGAGCGGAACCCGAAAUCCACUCUCAGUUCGGAUCGGAGUCUGCAACCCGACUCCGUGAAGCUGGAUUCGCUAGUAAUCGCGCAUCAGCCAUGGCGCGGU
rnacentral:rRNA from 1 species